rnacentral:rRNA from 1 species
GAUGAACGCUGGCGGCGUGCCUAAUACAUGCAAGUCGAGCGAACAGACGAGGAGCUUGCUCCUCUGACGUUAGCGGCGGACGGGUGAGUAACACGUGGAUAACCUACCUAUAAGACUGGGAUAACUUCGGGAAACCGGAGCUAAUAUCGGAUAAUAUAUUGAACCGCAUGGUUCAAUAGUGAAAGACGGUUUUGCUGUCACUUAUAGAUGGAUCCGCGCCGCAUUAGCUAGUUGGUAAGGUAACGGCUUACCAAGGCAACGAUGCGUAGCCGACCUGAGAGGGUGAUCGGCCACACUGGAACUGAGACACGGUCCAGACUCCUACGGGAGGCAGCAGUAGGGAAUCUUCCGCAAUGGGCGAAAGCCUGACGGAGCAACGCCGCGUGAGUGAUGAAGGUCUUCGGAUCGUAAAACUCUGUUAUUAGGGAAGAACAAAUGUGUAAGUAACUAUGCACGUCUUGACGGUACCUAAUCAGAAAGCCACGGCUAACUACGU